rnacentral:rRNA from 1 species
GACGAACGCUGGCGGCGUGCCUAAUACAUGCAAGUAGAACGCUGAAGGAGGAGCUUGCUUCUCCGGAUGAGUUGCGAACGGGUGAGUAACGCGUAGGUAACCUGCCUGGCAGCGGGGGAUAACUAUUGGAAACGAUAGCUAAUACCGCAUAAGAGACGAUGUCGCAUGACAUUUGCUUAAAAGGUGCAACUGCACCACUACCAGAUGGACCUGCGUGGUAUUAGCUAGGUGGUGAGGUAACGGCACACCAAGGCAACGAUUCAUAGCCGACCUGAGAGGGUGGUCGGCCCACCUUGGACUGGGACCCCGCCCCGACUCCUUCCGGGAGCAGCCGUAGGGGAUCUUUGGCCAUGGACGGAAGUCUGACCGCACCACGCCCCGUGGGUGGAGGAGGUUUUCCGGUCGUAAAACUCUGUUUUUAGGGAAGAACGAGUGUGAGAGUAGAAAGUUCACGCUGUGACGGUACCUUACCAGAAAGGGACGGCUAACUACGUG